ACGUAGGUGGCAAGCGUUGUCCGGAAUUAUUGGGCGUAAAGAGCAUGUAGGCGGGCUUUUAAGUCUGACGUGAAAAUGCGGGGCUUAACCCCGUAUGGCGUUGGAUACUGGAAGUCUUGAGUGCAGGAGAGGAAAGGGGAAUUCCCAGUGUAGCGGUGAAAUGCGUAGAUAUUGGGAGGAACACCAGUGGCGAAGGCGCCUUUCUGGACUGUGUCUGACGCUGAGAUGCGAAAGCCAGGGUAGCAAACGG
rnacentral:rRNA from 1 species